AUAACAAACGUGAACUUCUAUUAUUCCUACGUAUCAAAAUAUUUCAUAGACAUACAUAGCUAUAAUUAAUAUGGCACGAUAAAUGAUAACACAUAACGAUAGCUCAUAACUUGAGACUCGUAAAACUUUGCUAACAAUAUCGAUUCAAUUCUGUUCAAGAGAGUGCAGAUGGUGAGAGCGCUAAAUUUGAACUCUCAAAAACAGGAAUCGUUUCGGGCCUUGUCACAAAGGGAGCCCAACUGCAAGCUGUAACAGCCGUAAGGUGAAGGGAAAAAACGACAAACGAAGCUGGCGAAAAAACGGCCACGAGUUUUUCCAGCGACAACCACGAAGUGUGUAGUGUGCUCUCUCUAUCCUUUUUUUCUCAUGUUCUGGGUAUCUGGCUGGGUCGCGCGCGCGAAACGGCGAUAUCAACGAGCGGCUUGUCGCUUCUGCGUGGCAGUCGUUAUUUACGGAAGCGAGCAACCAGUGCGGUUGAAUUGGUCCUCAGUGUAACGAGAAUAUCCGGGUCAGCGUGUAUGUCAGCCACGUUACGUGGAAGUAACGCUAUUAUUGUGCGAAAAAUGAUUGGAAGUUCUUCUAUUUUUGUCCUUCUGUCUCUGCAAACUGAAGAUCUCGCUUCACUAUUCCGGAGAAUGAUGAAUACGUUUGUCGGCUGCACGGUUUUCGUCCUCGCGAUACAGGCUAUUUAUCCUGAGAAGAUACCGAUACGGAAGCCAUGCGUUAAUAGCCAGACGACAAGCUACUAUUCAUAAAAUGUGUGGGUGUAGUUGCUGAUGUAAUGCUCCGGAAGAAUAUCAGUGGAUUUCAUUGCCAAGGGAGAGUCAGAAGUCACAUCGUAAAAAGUUGGCACGGUUUCAUCUUGGGCGGAAAGGCUAAGGAGAAUCAGCAAUCAGCGAAGAUUUUUACGAUUUCAUCAAAGUGCCUUCUUUGGCACUAGAUAGAUACUUAUGGAGAUUGGAUUGAUUAAUUUUCUGCUUGCUUAACAAUUUGCACAAUUGCUACAAAUUCCGAGACGUAUUACUUGUGAUUCUCAUGCCAAUUUUCCGACUAUAUUUUUGGCUUUUCCCAAUAUUUAAAAAUAUCGUAGUUCAUUCCAAACCUUCUACCUUGAACUUUAACGAAAUUACUUUCGUUCUAAUUCUUCAUAGUCCGUCUUCAAAAUAUAUUAUUAAAUGUAAGAACUUGAAGAAGUAAGAUUUAUAUCAGAGAUAUUUAUUUCGUGCAGGCUGAUACGAAUAAUAUGCGAAUAGGAACAAAAAUAAAAGCAAUGAAUGAUCUUUCAAAAUCAAUCGCAUUCAGAACUAAGAAUUUGUCUUGAUCUGAACGAUCUUUCCCCAAACGUAUACAUUUCACGCUCAUAAGUGUCGCGCACAAAAUUUCAUAUUUUAUAUACGGAAUUAUAGAUCUCAUCUUGAAAAAUAUCAUAUACGAAACAAAGUGUCAAAUAUAUAACAU